rnacentral:rRNA from 1 species
CCUUUAUUAGAUCAAAACCAAUCGGUGGCGCGGCCUCGGUCGUGUCAUCGUACAACAUGGUGAAUCUGAAUAACGUUUGCUGAUCGCACGGUCUCGCACCGGCGACGCAUCUUUCAAAUGUCUGCCUUAUCAACUGUCGAUGGUAGGUUCUGCGCCUACCAUGGUUGUAACGGGUAACGGGGAAUCAGGGUUCGAUUCCGGAGAGGGAGCCUGAGAAACGGCUACCACAUCCAAGGAAGGCAGCAGGCGCGCAAAUUACCCACUCCCGGCACGGGGAGGUAGUGACGAAAAAUAACGAUACGGGACUCAUCCGAGGCCCCGUAAUCGGAAUGAGCACACUUUAAAUCCUUUCACGAGGAUCAAUCGGAGGGCAAGUCAGGUGCCAGCAGCCGCGGUAAUUCCUGCUCCGAUAGCGUAU